rnacentral:lncRNA from 1 species
ACGACACAGUGAACUACCCAGUACCCAGUACAGGGGCAAAACGACAGAGGCCAAGCGCGACGUUUAAAAAAGUACACCCCUAAAGGAGUAACGAGGAAACACAGAAAUUGUUGACGUGCAAAACAAAAGCAGAGCUAACGGUUGGCCAACAGAAAGUGCAACGAGAGAAAAGUGAGAGAAAAGUAACAGGCAUAAACUUGCUCCAAUCUUGUGGGCAGCACUUGUGCCAAUAGUUCAGUGUUGUAAAGCAAGGCAACGGAAAGGAAGUCGGAAGUCAACAAAAGCAUUUUAAAAAUCUCUGUACAUCACAAUUUCUUAAAAUCCAAAAGUUGGAAAAAUUCUACACAGAUAUAUGCAUGUGCGCGUGUAUAUGUACAUAAUAUAAGUGGAUAUAUAUAUAUACAUAUAUGUGUGUGUAGUGGUACAAUAUUUGUGAGCGCCAAAAAGCCGAAGAGACGAAGUGGCGCAGCCAUAUAAAUCGUGGCUUCUCUCGCGCGACGGUCUCCAGUUCGAAAGUCCACGUCCUCCUCGGUCGCGUAGUAAAAACUCUCGUAGAUUGCGCGUGUGUGUGUGCUUAUGUGUGGAUUGUCGGCAUAUCCUUGUGCGACUCUCGCUGCGCCUCGCUGCACACAACCCCCGGACACCAUCCCGCUAUA